rnacentral:rRNA from 1 species
UACGGAGGAUCCAAGCGUUAUCCGGAUUUAUUGGGUUUAAAGGGAGCGUAGGCGGCCUAUUAAGUCAGAGGUGAAAACUUGCAGCUCAACUGUAAGCGUGCCUUUGAUACUGAUGGGCUUGAAUAAACUUGAGGUAGGCGGAAUGUGACAAGUAGCGGUGAAAUGCAUAGAUAUGUCACAGAACACCAAUUGCGAAGGCAGCUUACUAAGGUUUAAUUGACGCUGAGGCUCGAAAGCGUGGGGAUCAAA